rnacentral:rRNA from 1 species
GUUCCAAAGAUUAAGCCAUGCAGCUCUCGGAUAAUGGUUCUUUAAGAAUCAAAUCUGCGUACGGCUCCGUAGCACUGUUAUAACCUAUUGCGCUGAAAAAAAUUGCGGGAGUAACGUUGGAAACACUAACAAUAAUACGUUAUAUCGAGUGGAGGGUCAGAAAGAAGUCCGUAUUCAAAACUCCCUGAGACUGCAACAACCCUCUUGGGAAGUAGCAUAGGGGGACGGAUUCCUGAUCCAACCCACGGAACUCCUGACUUGAUACCCAUAGGGGGAGGUAAAACUCCUUUCGCCGGUGUCCAAAAAACAGGAACUUUGAUGAUGCAAUCGAUUUUAGGAUGCACAUCUGCAGUGGGUUUCAGAAUUAUCAAUCGAUAGCCGGUUGGGCAUUGGCCAACCGGGUCCGUGACGAGUGCAGAAGAUUAAGGUUUGAUCCUGGAAAGGUAACCUGAAAGACGGCUUCCACUUCUAAGGAAGGCAGCAGGCGCGAAACGUUCUCAAUGAUUAAUUAGGAUUGAAGACGUUAAGGGACAUAACAAUUCCUUGCCGAAUAAGUAGGGAAAUUGAAAUGAGAGCGGCGUAAACAACCGUUCGAGCAACAAUCGGAGGACAA